ACUUCAUUCUUCUUGAUAAGUAAAAGCAGCAUGUUAGAGUUCUCUAUUAACUACCACAUAAUAUCUCCUUUUCUCCAACAACUGAGCCAAUCUAGCCGAUCUUCCUCUCGUACAUUCGUAUCAGCAAUCAGACCUAAAAAUCCUCGCUAUCUUCCCAUUCAUUUACAAUUACGCACACAGUAUAAGACAUUUCCAUGAACUCUAGCCUCCUUUAGCCACCAUAGAUUUAAGAUCUGGAUCGAAAACAACAUCGCAUCCACAACGGAAGCUCCAAGGCUUGAGUUGCAUGUUCCUUCGCCACAGCUGAUCCGUUCUCAAACCUCGAAUCACUUCUGUGGCACUAUCGGUUUCUCUAGGCUCGGCUUUGAGCGAUGUAUUAGUUGCUCAUAUGAUCUUGGUAUUGGCUUUUGUUCUCAGGUUUGGUUAUGGUUAAAUCGUGUGGGAUAAUGAACUGAACUGAGAUAUCUGAGAGUGUUCUUGGCUUCAGUCUUGAUGUUGCUACGUACAUAGAAUGAAGACUUGUAUUUCGUUUUGGCUUCACAAUUGCAGAUUAGGAGAGUAUAAUGCAGAGGGGUUUCCCCUGGUCACCUACUGACCAUAUCUCAUCUGGUCAGUGACCAUUAGAUCGCUCCCCUAUUAAUCUAAAGGCUGAGAAACAAUUACUCCACUUGAAUUAAAAUAAGAUAUUCAACACUUAUUUUAUCAUUUUCAAUUACUUUAUAUUAUUCUUGUGCAGCAGCUUUGGGGAACACUUUUCCUCUAAUGCAGGAGUGUUGCCCGUGGGUAUGGAGAAGAAACUGGAAUUUAUUCUCAAACUGGAAUUUAUUCAAUUAAGGUUUGUGGAAGUGCAUGCGAGCAACUCAGGAGAAGGAACUGGGAUAAAUAAGCUACA